UCUGUAUCAGAUCUGGAUGGUUUCAUUGAGAUCGGGGAGCCCUUUAUAAAAUUUUCAAAUCAAUGAACUGAUGAAUGGCAGCCACCAGAAUCACAAACUUGCCUUUGCGUACACCAGCUAGAUUCUGCCAGAUUUCCAGAUGUGGAUUUUGCAUCGUGCGAAAGAUCAAACAAAAGCACGGAAAUUAACAGGAUCAACUGAGGACUCCUCCUUCCUUGUGGGUACACGCUUUUGGAACGGGCUUGCCUGGGCGCUCUGCCAAACUCCGACUCCAGUAAGUUCAGGCACAUAUGGUAAGAUCUUUAUAUUUAUUUUAGCCCUUUUCCUGGUUUUCGUUUUAGCCUAAGGGGCUGGAGAAUUUGGGUCUGGUUUUAUUUUCUAACAACAAGAAGACACCAAUUCUUCAUUGUCCCCCCCAUUACAGAGAGACUUGGGUGUAAUUUAUCAUUUUAUUAACUUUGUAAACAAGUGGCUAGCAACUAUGGCAAAAGUUGCUGUGUAAAUCAAUAAAGCAACAAAGAAGACAACACUUUUAAUUAGCUUUAAAAUGGCAUUAGUUGCACAAUCUGUCACCCAGCUAAUGUUUGGGAGGCUGCACAUAUUAGCACAAUUUAGGUCCAGGGUGGCAGAACCGGGUGCACCCAACAACGAAUAUUUACAGUAAGACAUUAAACAACUCCUUUGAUGCAAGUCUAUGGAAGAAACUGUGAACAGACCAAAAGCUGUUAAGCGGCUGGCAAAAUCAUGUUCUACAUAGAAUUGCAGAGCUGAAAGGGACCCUAAGGAGCAUCUAGUCUUGUGGUCUCGUUGUGAACCACCCUGAGACCUCUGGGUAUAGGGCAGUGCAUGAGUUGAAUAAAUAAUAAAUAGUCCAACCUCCUCCAAUGCAGCUGUCCCAUAUGGGGAUCAAACCUGCAGCCUUGACAUUAUCAUGCUUAUAUGAAA